rnacentral:tRNA from 1 species
GGCACGAUGGCGGAGGGGUUACGCGACGGUCUGCAAAACCGUUUACACCAGUUCAAGUCUGGUUCGUGCCUCCA